ensembl:miRNA
UUAGGUUGGUGCAAAAGUAAUUGAGGUUUUUGCCAUUGAAAGUAAUGGCAAAAACCUCAGUAACUUUUGCACCAAACUCAUAAAA